AAUGAACGCUGGCGGCGCGCCUAAUACAUGCAAGUCGAGCGAGAAGACGUAGCAAUACGUUUGUAAAGCGGCGAACGGGUGAGGAAUACAUGGGUAACCUACCCUCGAGUGGGGAAUAACUAGCCGAAGGUUAGCUAAUACCGCGUACGCUCCUUGGACUUCGGUUCAGGGAGGAAAGCGAUACCGUGGGUAUCGCGCUCUUGGAUGGGCUCAUGUCCUAUCAGCUUGUUGGCGAGGUAACGGCUCACCAAGGCUUCGACGGGUAGCUGGUCUGAGAGGACGAUCAGCCACACUGGCACUGCGACACGGGCCAGACUCCUACGGGAGGCAGCAGUAAGGAAUAUUGCGCAAUGGGCGAAAGCCUGACGCAGCGACGCCG
rnacentral:rRNA from 1 species